UCUAAUGUGACAGAUAAAUGUGUUAGUUUUAAGAACUAUUUAUAGCCCGGCUCUUUAGAA
rnacentral:tRNA from 1 species